GACAGAGGGUGCAAACGUUGCUCGGAAUCACUGGGCGUAAAGGGCGUGUAGGCGGGAAGGAAAGUCAGAUGUGAAAUCCCCCAGGCUCAACCUGGGAACUGCAUUUGAAACUCCCUUUCUUGAGUACCGGAGAGGAAAGUGGAAUUCCUGGUGUAGAGGUGAAAUUUGUAGAUAUCAGGAGGAACACCAGUGGCGAAGGCGGCUUUCUGGACGGUAACUGACGCUGAGACGCGAAAGCGUGGGGAGCAAACAGG
rnacentral:rRNA from 1 species